UCCUUUAUUCCACGUCCUCUAUGAACUCAAAAUUUCGCUGUGCAAAAUAUUGCAGAUUCAGAGAGGAGAUUUCCAAGAUGGCGGACGAACGUGAAACUCAACGCUUAGAGCGUAAACGAAAGCACACCCGUAACUUGCAUUUAAAGGAUGCGAAAGGAAAGAGGACAAUUAAAUCCAGCAAAAGAAACCCGAAUGUGGAGAACCCACACACUAUUCAGCCUCAAUUGCCAAAAACCGCAACCGAAAUGUCGUCUAACUGGAAAUUGCUACAAGCGCUACUUGAAAAAGAAAAGCGGACCAAGAAAGAGAAAGGAGAAGUGAGACCCAGGAGUAAGAAGUUGUUCAAGAAAAGAUUGAAACGAGAUCAAACAGAACAAACAACAAGCUCAAGUGAAAUGUGGUUUGAUGAUGUUGAUCCUGAAGAUCUUGAAGAAGUUACAGGAAAAAGAAUCAAAACAUCCAAUGGAGUAGAGCCUAGUGAUGUACUGGUCACUGGCACUCUUGAAGGGCUAACAAAGAAGAUUGCCCUGGACUGUGAGAUGGUUGGGGUUGGGUUUGAUGGCAAGCGACACAUGUUGGCAAGAGUAUCCAUAGUAAACUCUCAUGGUCAUGUCGUCUAUGAUUCAUUCGUGGCACCACAGGAGAAGGUGGUUGAUUACCGCACUCCUGUCAGUGGAAUAAAACCUGUAAAUUUGAAAAAUGACAAGGAUCUCUUCUCGCGAUAUCAGAGUCACAUCUCCUAGGACAAGAUUCUCAUCAUGAGAGAAUCUGAAGUUCAAGCAGUUGUACUGACAGUUUUAAAACUCCACUUGUCUGGCGACACUAGAGCCUCUCGAGACGGUGGUAACUUACACUUGAGCAGUAGCCCCAGACUUCAAGACAGUUCAACUUGAAGUUUCAAAACUUCUUCGAGGGAAAAUCCUUGUCGGGCAUGCUUUAAAGAAUGAC